CAACCUGCCCUGUACUGUGGAAUAAUCAUUGGAAACGAUGACUAAUACCGCAUGUGGUCCUCGGAAGGCAUCUUCUGAGGAAGAAAGGAUUUAUUCGGUACAGGAUGGGCCCGCAUCUGAUUAGCUAGUUGGUGAGAUAACAGCCCACCAAGGCGACGAUCAGUAGCCGACCUGAGAGGGUGAUCGGCCACAUUGGGACUGAGAUACGGCCCAG
rnacentral:rRNA from 1 species